rnacentral:rRNA from 1 species
AGUGAACGCUGGCGGUAGGCCUAACACAUGCAAGUCGAACGGCAGCACAGUAAGAGCUUGCUCUUACGGGUGGCGAGUGGCGUACGGGUGAGGAAUACAUCGGAAUCUACUUUUUCGUGGGGGUUAACGUAGGGAAACUUACGCUAAUACCGCAUACGACCUACGGGUGAAAGCAUGGGAUCUUCGGACCUUGCGCGAUUGAAUGAGCCGAUUUCGGAUUAGCUAGUUGGCUGGGUAAGGGCCCACCAAGGCGACGAUCCGUAGCUGGUCUGAGAGGAUGAUAAGCAAAACUGGAAGUGAGAAGCGGUCCAGAAACCAAGGGGAGGCAGAAGUGGGGAAUAUUGGAAAAUGGGCGAAAGACUGAUCCAGACAUACAGCGUGGGUGAAGAAGGCCUGCGGGUUGUAAAGCCCUUUUGUUGGGAAAGAAAAGCAGCAGGUUAAAACCCCGCUGUUCUGACGGUACCAAAAGAAUAAGAACCGGCUAACUUCGU